rnacentral:lncRNA from 10 species
AUGGCCAACACAAGGAAAACAGGAGAGGCACCCAGUGUAUGUUUUCUAGGCCUUUUAGAAAACAUGGAGUUGGCCACAUGCAUGGGAGUCUAUAAAAAAGGUGAUACUGUAGACAUCAAGGGAAUGGGUAUGGUUCAAAAAGGAAUGCCUCACAAGUGUUACCAUGGCAAAAACUGGAAGAGUCUAUAAUGUUACUCAGCAUGCUGUUAGCAUUGCUGUAGGGAAAAAAAAAAAAAAAAGUUAAGGGCUAGAUUCUUGCCAAAAGAAUUAAUGUGCAUAUGGAGCACAUUAAACACUCUAAGGGAAAAGGUAGUCUCCUGAAAUGCAUGAAAGAAAAUGAUCAGAAAAAGAAGAGAGCCAAAGAGAAAGGUACCUGGAUUCAGCUGACAGGCCAGCCUGCUGCACCAAGAGAAGCACACUUGGUGAGAACCAAUGGAGAGGAGCCAGAGCUACUGGAACCUAUUCCCUAUGAAUUCAUG